rnacentral:tRNA from 1 species
AGUCUUAUAUUCAAGUAUGAUGUUAAAUUGCAAGUUUAAAGGUAAGUUAAUUUUAAGGCUU